UUUAGAGCGACUAAAAUUAUAAGAAAUAUAAUAAUUCAUUUACAUAAUAGUAAUAACUACCCUGCGCAAGGAUGACACGCAAAAUCGUGAAGCGUUCCACAUUUUU
rnacentral:snRNA from 1 species